rnacentral:rRNA from 1 species
UGGGGGAUAUUGCACAAUGGGGGAAACCCUGAUGCAGCGACGCCGCGUGGAGGAAGAAGGUUUUCGGAUUGUAAACUCCUGUCGUUAGGGACGAUAAUGACGGUACCUAACAAGAAAGCACCGGCUAACUACGUGCCAGCAGCCGCGGUAAAACGUAGGGUGCAAGCGUUGUCCGGAAUUACUGGGUGUAAAGGGAGCGCAGGCGGACCGGCAAGUUGGAAGUGAAAACUAUGGGCUCAACCCAUAAAUUGCUUUCAAAACUGCUGGCCUUGAGUAGUGCAGAGGUAGGUGGAAUUCCCGGUGUAGCGGUGGAAUGCGUAGAUAUCGGGAGGAACACCAGUGGCGAAGGCGACCUACUGGGCACCAACUGACGCUGAGGCUCGAAAGCAUGGGUAGCAAACAGGAUUAGAUACCCUGGUAGUCCAUGCCGUAAACGAUGAUUACUAGGUGUUGGAGGAUUGACCCCUUCAGUGCCGCAGUUAACACAAUAAGUAAUCCACCUGGGGAGUACGACCGCAAGGUUGAAACUCAAAGGAAUUGACGGGGGCCCGCACAAGCAGUGGAGUAUGUGGUUUAAUUCGAAGCAACGCGAAGAACCUUACCAGGUCUUGACAUCCGAUGCAUAGUGCAGAGAUGCAUGAAGUCCUUCGGGACAUCGAGACAGAUGGUGCAUGGUUGUCGUCAGCUCGUGUCGUGAGAUGUUGGGUUAAGUCCCGCAACGAGCGCAACCCUUAUUGCCAGUUACUACGCAAGAGGACUCUGGCGAGACUGCCGUUGACAAAACGGAGGAAGGUGGGGAUGACGUCAAAUCAUCAUGCCCUUUAUGACCUGGGCUACACACGUACUACAAUGGCGUUUAACAAAGAGAAGCAAGACCGCGAGGUGGAGCAAAACUCAAAAACAACGUCUCAGUUCAGAUUGCAGGCUGCAACUCGCCUGCAUGAAGUCGGAAUUGCUAGUAAUCGCGGAUCAGCAUGCCGCGGUGAAUACGUUCCC